CUUGCCAGUUUUUGUUGGCAUUUGCAGUGCAAACAUACUUUUGCUUGUUUUGCUGGAUUUUUUUAAGCGUUACUUUGAAACAAAGAUACUGAAUUUUUCAUGAAGCCUCAAAAUAUUUUUUGCUACAGUUCUGUGUGAAGCUAGUGAUAACUGCAUGAUGGUGAGAUCAUUUGUGACUCCUUUUCUUCUUAGUUUAGGAGUGAUGGAACCUGAAGACUGAAUGCAGACCUCUCUAAGCUCACCAAGUUCAUGCUCACUAAGCUUGCAUGCUGUGGAUGAUCUUUUCUAACAUACUUGAGAUGUAUCUGAGUAGCGAGGCCCCCUGCACACACAGCCCCUAGAAAUCGUUGUUUGCAUCGCUGAGUCUCGGUGAGUUGUCUCUAUCCUAUUGCAUUUAAUUGGAUUGUGUUGCAGUUCUAUCUUCUUCACUGGGGAGU
rnacentral:lncRNA from 1 species